rnacentral:rRNA from 1 species
CCUACGGGAGGCAGCAGUGAGGAAUAUUGGUCAAUGGACGAGAGUCUGAACCAGCCAAGCAGCGUGAAGGAUGACUGCCCUAUGGGUUGUAAACUUCUUUUAUAUGGGAAUAAAAUGUUCCACGUGUGGGAUUUUGUAUGUACCAUAUGAAUAAGCAUCGGCUAACUUCGUGCCAGCAGCCGCGGUAAUACGGAGGAUUCGAGCGUUAUCCGGAUUUAUUGGGUUUAAAGGGAGCGUAGGUGGAUUGCUAAGUCAGUUGUGAAAGUUGGCGGCUCAACCGUAAAAUUGCAGUUGAAACUGGCAGUCUUGAGUACAGGAGAGGUGGGCGGAAUUCGUGGUGUAGCGGUGAAAUGCUUAGAUAUCACGAAGAACUCCGAUUGCGAAGGCAGCGCACUGGACUGCAACUGACACUGAGGCUCGAAAGUGUGGGUAUCAAACAGGAUUAGAUACCCUUGUAGUC